AUGCCAUGGUGUGGACACUUCACCAACAUGCCGUUAAACCUUUCCCAAGUUUCUUGGAAAGUUUCAAUUAUUUUUUGCCUGAACUGCAAUAUUUCAUCGAUUUGCCU
rnacentral:snoRNA from 1 species